UAAUUUUAAGGUCACUGACUGUGCCCCAGAGUCACAAAAAAUUAACUUGGGACUCAGGCCAUGUAAGGUUUUGCAGGAAGACAACUUCUUUCACCAUAGAGAGUGCCAAGGAAAUUUCAGAUGAGCAUUUGACAAGGGGACCCGAUCUUUUAUUCCCGACACAUGGCAAACCUUCUAUUCAUUUCAGCAAAAAUCGAGAGAAAGGCCUCAAAACAUGCAGCCGCUCCCAACGAGGGAUGAUGAGCAAAUCCUGCAGCCUGCUGGAGUGCAGCGUGGCGCACCUCGAUGGCACAGAAACCGAGCCCAGCCCAUUCUCAAGGCACAUAUUUGAUCAGACAUGCAUAAGCUACAGCAAAGAGAAACAUCUUUAUCCAACUGUACAUCUGGAUAUCCGUUCAACUUUUUGGACAACUGAAAUAAGAAAAAAAACCCAGUAUUUGAAACCCUUCCUGAAAAUUAUACCUAGUGAUGGUGCAUAAUGUGUUUACAUCGCCUGAAUAAAAAUUCCUGUUGCUAGAAAAGGUUCCUGAAAUCUAGAAUAAAUCCAUGUUAAAUACCAAGAUGGAAAA